rnacentral:rRNA from 1 species
CGGGAUUGCCUCAGUAACGGCGAGUGAAGCGGCAACAGCUCAAAUUUGAAAUCUGGCCUCGCUCCGGGGUCCGAGUUGUAAUUUGUAGAGGAUGCUUCGGGUGACGUGCCGGCCUAAGUCCCUUGGAACAGGACGUCAUAGAGGGUGAGAGUCCCGUCUGUGGCCGGCGUCUGACCCCGCAAGAAGUUCCUUCGACGAGUCGAGUUGUUUGGGAAUGCAGCUCUAAAUGGGUGGUAAAUUUCAUCUAAAGCUAAAUACCGGCCGGAGACCGAUAGCGCACAAGUAGAGUGAUCGAAAGAUGAAAAGCACUUUGGAAAGAGAGUCAAACAGUAUGUGAAAUUGUUGAAAGGGAAGCGCCUGCGACCAGACCUGUCUUCGGGUGAUCACCCGUCGUUUUCGGCGGGGCACUCGCCCGGCAGCAGGCCAGCAUCGGUUUCGGCGGCCGGACAAAGGCCCUGGGAAUGUACCUUCCCUCCGGGGAAGACUUAUAGCCCGGGGUGCAAUGCGGCCAGCCGGGACCGAGGACCGCGCUUCGGCAAGGAUGCUGGCGUAAUGGUCGUAGGCGGCCCGUCUUGAAACACGGACCAAGGAGUCUACCAUUUAUGCGAGUGUUUGGGUGUCAAACCCAUACGCGCAAUGAAAGUGAACGGAGGUGGGAACCCUAACGGACGCACCAUCGACCGAUCCAGAUGUCUUCGGAUGGAUUUGAGUACGAGCAUAACUGGUGGGACCCGAAAAGUCAGUAUCCCCUUUUAACUCAUCCUAUCGUGGUAUAUGCUAACAUUUCUCGCAGAUGGUGAACUACACGUGGAUAGGGUGAAGCCAGAGGAAACUCUGGUGGAGGCUCGCAGCGGUUCUGACGUGCAAAUCGAUCGUCAAAUCAGCGUGUAGGGGCGAAAGACUUAUCGAACCAUUUAGUAGCUGGUUUCGGCCGAAGUUUCCCUCAGGAUAGCAGUAACGUCUUCAGUUUUAUGAGGUAAAGCGAAUGAUUAGAGCCCUUGGGGGCGUAACGCCCUUAAGCUAUUCUCAAACUUUAAAUAUGUAAGAAGUCCUUGUUACUUAGUUGAACGUGGACAUUUGAAUGCACCGUUACUAGUGGGCCAUUUUUGGUAAGCAGAACUGGCGAUGCGGGAUGAACCGAACGCGAGGUUAAGGUGCCGGAAUGCACGCUCAUCAGACACCACACGUAGAGGUGGAGAGAAAUGUGGUGUCUCAGUGGAGAAAUCCAUGUGGAGUCCCGGGAGGGGCCAGGUCUUCCAUCUGCGGAACCAGCUGACCACGUGUGGUCGGGCAAUCCGCUGCUGUCUCUGACAGCCCACAGAUUAUGUGGAGACCGACUGCGGCACUGGCAGCAGUUCAAGAUAUAAUCGGCCGGGGACGUGGUCUUCUCUGAUCCCGCGCAAAAAGUGUUAGUUCAUCCAGACAGCCGGACGGUGGCCAUGGAAGUCGGAACCCGCUAAGGAGUGUGUUGCGAGUUGUUGCACACCAUAGUAAAUUGCUAACGGCGUGCUCCCCCAGGGGACCACGUACGUGACAGCUCUCGGAUGCCUGGAUGUGACUUCUCAAAAGGAGGCGCGACCGGCAGUGGGGCACCGCCCCCAUCCACAGACUAAACGGAGCUGACCGGGGUGAAUAUGUGAAGCCCCGGGGGAGAUAUAGUCGUUCGCGGCCCCGACAGGGCGCCCGAGUCGAAGAACAACUCACCGGCCGAAUGAACUAGCCUUGAAAAUGGAUGGCGCUCAAGCGUGCUACCCAUACCUCGCCGCCAGGGUAGAAACAACGCCCUGGCGAGUAGGCCGACGUGGAGGUCCGUGACGAAGC